GCAGCCGAGCGGUAGAGAUUCUUCGGGAUCUUGAGAGCGGCGUACGGGUGCGGAACACGUGUGCAACCUGCCUUUAUCUGGGGGAUAGCCUUUCGAAAGGAAGAUUAAUACCCCAUAAUAUACUGGAUGGCAUCAUUCGGUAUUGAAAACUCCGGUGGAUAGAGAUGGGCACGCGCAAGAUUAGAUAGUUGGUGAGGUAACGGCUCACCAAGUCUACGAUCUUUAGGGGGCCUGAGAGGGUGAUCCCCCACACUGGUACUGAGACACGGACCAGACUCCUACGGGAGGCAGCAGUGAGGAAUAUUGGACAAUGGGUGAGAGCCUGAUCCAGCCAUCCCGCGUGAAGGACGACGGCCCUAUGGGUUGUAAACUUCUUUUGUAUAGGGAUAAACCUACCCUCGUGAGGGUAGCUGAAGGUACUAUACGAAUAAGCACCGGCUAACUCCGUGCCAGCAGCCGCGGUAAUACGGAGGGUGCAAGCGUUAUCCGGAUUUAUUGGGUUUAAAGGGUCCGUAGGCGGAUCUGUAAGUCAGUGGUGAAAUCUCACAGCUUAACUGUGAAACUGCCAUUGAUACUGCAGGUCUUGAGUGUUGUUGAAGUAGCUGGAAUAAGUAGUGUAGCGGUGAAAUGCAUAGAUAUUACUUAGAACACCAAUUGCGAAGGCAGGUUACUAAGCAACAACUGACGCUGAUGGACGAAAGCGUGGGGAGCGAACAGGAUUAGAUACCCUGGUAGUCCACGCCGUAAACGAUGCUAACUCGUUUUUGGAAUGUAAGUUUCAGAGACUAAGCGAAAGUGAUAAGUUAGCCACCUGGGGAGUACGAACGCAAGUUUGAAACUCAAAGGAAUUGACGGGGGCCCGCACAAGCGGUGGAUUAUGUGGUUUAAUUCGAUGAUACGCGAGGAACCUUACCAAGGCUUAAAUGGGAAAUGACAGGUUUAGAAAUAGACUUUUCUUCGGACAUUUUUCAAGGUGCUGCAUGGUUGUCGUCAGCUCGUGCCGUGAGGUGUUAGGUUAAGUCCUGCAACGAGCGCAACCCCUGUCACUAGUUGCCAUCAUUAAGUUGGGGACUCUAGUGAGACUGCCUACGCAAGUAGAGAGGAAGGUGGGGAUGACGUCAAAUCAUCACGGCCCUUACGCCUUGGGCCACACACGUAAUACAAUGGCCGGUACAGAGGGCAGCUACACUGCGAAGUGAUGCAAAUCUCGAAAGCCGGUCUCAGUUCGGAUUGGAGUCUGCAACUCGACUCUAUGAAGCUGGAAUCGCUAGUAAUCGCGCAUCAGCCAUGGCGCGGUGAAUACGUUCCCGGGCCUUGUACACACCGCCCGUCAAGCCAUGGAAGUCUGGGGUACCUGAAGUCGGUGACCGUAACAGGAGC
rnacentral:rRNA from 1 species